rnacentral:tRNA from 1 species
UCCUGGUUAGUACAAUGGUUAGUAUAGGACACUCUCAUGACACAGCUUCUGUCCACCCAGUAGCGCGGUCUGUUCAGAUCGGGGUUCGAUUCCCCGGCCGGGAA